rnacentral:lncRNA from 10 species
GCUCCAGCUGCUUCCUGGAGCCUCCCUCCUUCCUCUCCACCUGCCCGCGUCCUCUUUCUCCUUCAGUUUCUUCCUAAGGGCCCAUGGGCUUUCUUUGGCUUUUACGUUCUUCUCACUCCGCCUUUGGCUGUUGCUGGGCCUCCCAUCCCCUGGGAGGUUUCAGAGGAUGGGGAAGACACAGGAGUGCAGUCACCAUGCAGUGCAAUAUGGGCUGUAAUGUUAAUCCUCCACGGCCUUUAUUGAGGACUUACUGUGUGCCAAGAACCUGCUCUGAGAACUUAACUGUGCUCCCUCCCUUCAUGCUCAUAACCACCUGUGAGACAGGCAAUGUUCUCAUCCCCUUUCACACAGAGAACAUGGAGGCACAAAGGAGUUUCAUAAAUUGCCACUAAGGCCGUCCACUGGUGUGCGGCAGAGUCAAGAUUCAAACCCAGGCUGUCUGGCUCUGGGUUUCCUCUGUUAGGUGUCAGAUAGGGCCAAGGAGACACAGAGAAGGAGCACCACCUGACUUGGGCUGGGGCAGUCAGGGAUGGCUUCCUGGAGGAGGUGACACCUCAGUGGAGCCUUCAAGGAGGAGCUGACCAGGCUUUGAAUGUCCAGGAAGAGUGAAAUGCCUGAGUGAUGCUGGGAGGCUGGAGAGCUGGCCUGGCUCGGGUUGUGUGCCAGGGGGCAGGAGAUCAGGACUAAGGGGUGGCCAGGGUCAGAUCUAGAAGACUUGGGCCAUCCCAUAGUCAAUACCUCAUCGCAAGGCCAGGCAGGCCUUCCACUGCUCUGUUUGUACCCCAUGGGACACCAGGAGCCUGGGCCGCGGCCACCCACCUGGGCCCCUGAGACCCAAUGCACAGGCAUGGGGGCGGGAGUGGGUGUGGCUGAUUUACAUCCAACAGGUUGAGGGGAAAACCCAGGAAGUGCAGCCCAGGCAAUAAUCAAAUCUAAGACUAAUAAUAAGCAUCCUGAGUAGUGAGUGGCCUGGGCUGGAGUGGGCAAGCUGGCCAGAGUGGAUGGACCAGGAGGAGCCGUGUGAGUAGCCAGGCAGGAGGGCAGGUGGGAGGUGUGAGGAGGGUUGGGUCUGAGUGCCGUGGGGGUUGGCAGGGUCCAGUAGGUGCAAGGCCCACAGCAGAUCCACACACUGGGGCAGUCCCAGCCUCCCCAAGCCCCUGCACAGCCUCCAUUUUCCCCCUUACAUGCCCGCUGGACCAUUUUAAUGCUAAUCUCAAAUACCAGAUUGUUUUGAGUUGCUGAGACUGCAGGAUUUAUUCCUUAAGAACACAAACUAAAAACAAAAAACUAAGCAUCAUACAAUUCCUGCUAAAACAAUUCCUAAACAUCAUCACAUAACCCGCCAGGGUUCAAACUGCUCUGACUAUCUCUUCAAUGUCUUUCUCAGUUGAUUUGUUCAAAUCAGGAUCCCAGCAUAGCCCACAUUAGACAUUUGGCUAUGUUUUAAUCUAUAACAGUUUCCACUUGUUUUUUUCUUGGUUGGUUGGUAAAGAUACUGGACUAUUUAUACUGCAACAUUUUUAUCAGGGUAGGUUUCUAAGGCUUUAUGAAAGGGCUCCAGAUCCUUCACUGUGCAGACAGAAUCCAAGGCUGGAUGGACCUAGGGCAUAGCCUAGAUUCACAGCCUCUCCCUGCAGCUCUGUCCCCACACUCCAGGCAGAGAACAAAUCUGUUCUCUCAUCCUCUUUUGUGUCCUGCGACCACAUCCCCAGAAUCUACCCAGCCAGGGGCUCAAAUACGUAAUGUUUCUCUUUCUGAGAGAGUUAGACAAGGCAGUGACCAGAGGCUGCCUUGACACAGGAUGAAAUUGCCCAGAGCCCUGGGGCCGGGAGUCAAGACCCAGCUAGAACUGUGACCUGGCACUAGCAGAGGCCGCCUGGUGCUGCAGAAUCACCCCUGGCCAGUUGUUCAGUGACCCACUCUGAGACCUUGGCUGAGCCACUUCCCCUCAGUGUAAAAUGAAGAAGACUGUCUUUCCUACCAGAUAUCCCUCAAAAAAAACAAAAGUGCUUUGAACCUGUCAGAUCCCCUGUUAAAGAGUCACAAGGAAAGGCUCUGAGAAGACUUGCAGUUAAAAAAAUCCUUUGGCUUCCUUUAACCCAGAGAUUUUUCAAGGUAAUUUGACCACAGAGAACUUUCUUGGUGCAGCAGCUGUUAACUAGCCAAACGUGUGGAGGCACAAGCAGAGGGCUCAGAGAAUCACCCUCUUUGGCUGCUCUCUGGUUUCAGGGUGCAGGGGAGAGUCUCUGUCCUGCAUCCGAGUCUGCAGCAGCCUGGAGUAUGAGCCCAGCCCACAGAGCUAGUGUCCAAGAGGAGUUCCCUUUCUUCCCUUUCCAUCAAUGGAGCUUCUCUCUCAAGCUUCUAUUCUGCCUGGCUGGUGUCAAUCUUGGGGUUUUCCUGCCCUCCUUUGACACUUGAUGGUGGUUCUGGGAUUUUGAUGGUGGUGGAGGAGGGGGCAGGGACAGGCCCUCUGGUCAGCUUGGCAUCUGCCAUCUGGUCAGUCAGGCACUGUCUCUCCAUAGGUCCGGUGGCUUUGGUGGCUUCUAGGCCAUGAAUGGGUCUUGGAACCUCUCCAAGGCUGCCCUUGUCACAUAGAACCUGCUGCCCACGUUCCACUCAACCAUCCCUUCACGGUGAUAUGUGGUGGGUGGUGGCUUUCUCCCUCUUUGCUCCCCCCACCCAAAAGGGGGAAGAAUCAGGGGUCUGUCUUUAAUUUUGUUUGAUCCUUUGAUUUUACAUUUGCUUUUAAAUAUACAGUAGAGUCAGAUGGUUUGAAACCCAGAAAGUAUUGGAAGAUGUAUAAUGGAAAGUCUCUUUCCCACCUUGUCCUCCAUCUGCCCAGUUCCCACCUCCUCUAGAAUAAGCAACAUUAUUGAGGUAUAAUUUACAUGCCAUGAAAUUCACCUGUGUAAAGUGUACAAGUCAGUGUUUUAGAGUUGUGCAGCCAUCACCAUAAGCUAAUUUUAGAACAUUUUGAUGACCCCAAAAAGAAACUUUGUCAGUCUUCAUUCCUCCCCAACCCCAGG